UGGGGAAUAUUGGACAAUGGGCGCAAGCCUGAUCCAGCCAUGCCGCGUGAAUGAUGAAGGCCUUAGGGUUGUAAAAUUCUUUCAACGGUGAAGAUAAUGACGGUAACCGUAGAAGAAGCCCCGGCUAACUUCGUGCCAGCAGCCGCGGUAAUACGAAGGGGGCUAGCGUUGUUCGGAAUUACUGGGCGUAAAGCGCACGUAGGCGGGCUGAUUAGUUGGUGGUGAAAUCCCAGAGCUCAACUCUGGAACUGCCAUCAAUACUGUCAGCCUGGAGCAUAGUAGAGGUUAGUGGAAUUCCAAGUGUAGAGGUGAAAUUCGUAGAUAUUUGGAGGAACACCAGUGGCGAAGGCGACUGACUGGGCUAUUGCUGACGCUGAGGUGCGAAAGCGUGGGGAGCAAACAGG
rnacentral:rRNA from 1 species